rnacentral:rRNA from 1 species
UACGUAGGUGGCAAGCGUUGUCCGGAUUUACUGGGCGUAAAGAGCGCGCAGGCGGUUGUUUAAGUCGGAUGUGAAAGCCCCCGGCUCAACUGGGGAGGGUCAUUCGAUACUGAUCGACUUGAAGGCAGGAGAGGGAAGUGGAAUUCCGAGUGUAGAGGUGAAAUUCGUAGAUAUUCGGAAGAACACCAGUGGCGAAGGCGACUUACUGGACACAUAUUGACGCUGAGGUGCGAAAGCGUGGGGAGCAAACAGG